GGAAAUGUGGCUCAGGGGUAGAGCACUUGCCUGGCACACAAGGCCUGGAUUCAACCCCAACACUUCCC
rnacentral:tRNA from 1 species